rnacentral:tRNA from 1 species
GUUGAAGUGGCAGAAAAAAUGCGAUAGCUUUAAAAGCUAUAAACGGCCUAGCCCUUUAAUG